GGGGUUGUAGCUCAGUGUAGAGCGCUUGCCUCUCAAGCAUACACUGGGUUCAAUCCUCAGCACCA
rnacentral:tRNA from 1 species